rnacentral:rRNA from 1 species
AACGAACGCUGGCGGCAUGCCUAACACAUGCAAGUCGAACGAGACCUUCGGGUCUAGUGGCGCACGGGUGCGUAACGCGUGGGAACCUGACCUUAGGUUCGGACUAACUCCCCGAAAGGGGUGCUAAUACCGGAUAAUGUCUUCGGACCAAUGAUUUAUCGCCUCUGGAUGGGCCCGCGUUGGAUUAGCUAGUUGGUAGGGUAAAAGCCUACCAAGGCGACGAUUCAUAGCUGGUCUGAGAGGAUGAUCAGCCACACUGGGACUGAGACACGGCCCAGACUCCUACGGGAGGCAGCAGUGGGUAAUAUUGGACAAUGGGCGAAAGCCUGAUCCAGCAAUGCCGCGUGAGUGAUGAAGGCCUUAGGGUUGUAAAGCGCUUGUACCCGGGAUGAUAAUGACAGUACCGGGUGAAUAAGCUCCGGCUAACUCCGUG